AAAACGACUCUCGGCAACGGAUAUCUCGGCUCUCGCAUCGAUGAAGAACGUAGCGAAAUGCGAUACUUGGUGUGAAUUGCAGAAUCCCGUGAACCAUCGAGUCUUUGAACGCAAGUUGCGCCCGAAGCCAUCAAAGGUCGAGGGCACGUCUGCCUGGGCGUCAAAC
rnacentral:rRNA from 1 species